GACCCCACUGCUAUCGGGAUAGGACUAAGACAUGCUAGUCGAGUGAUUCAGGCAAAACGAGUCACGGCACACAGCUCAGUAACACGUGGCUACUGCCCUUAGGACGAGAACAACCCCGGGAAACUGGGGCUAACUCUCGAUAGGCGAAGAACUCUGGAAUGAGUCUUUACCUAAAUAGUGCAACGUUAUCCUCGUUGCAUCGCCUAAGGAUGAGGCCGCGACCGAUCAGGUUGUUGGCGAGGUAAUGGCUCACCAAGCCUUUUACCGGUGCGGGCCGUGAGAGCGGGAGCCCGGAGAUGGGCACUGAGACAAGGGCCCAGGCCCUACGGGGCGCAGCAGUCGCGAAAACUUUGCAAUAAGCGAAAGCUUGACAGGGCUAUCCCGAGUGCCAUCCGCUGAGGAAGGCUUUUACCCAGUCUAGAACGCUGGGGGAAUAAGGAGAGGGCAAGUCUGGUGUCAGCCGCCGCGGUAAUACCAGCUCUCCGAGUGGUGUGGAUGUUUAUUGGGCCUAAAGCAUCCGUAGCUGGCUAGGUCAGUCCCUUGUUAAAUCCACCGAAUUAAUCGUUGGAUUGCGGGGGAUACUGCUUGGCUAGGGGACGAGAGAGGCAGACGGUAUUUUCGGGGUAGGGGUGAAAUCCUAUAAUCCCGGGAAGACCACCAGUGGCGAAGGCUGUCUGCUAGAACGCGCCCGACGGUGAGGGAUGAAAGCUGGGGGAGCGAACCGGAUUAGAUACCCGGGUAGUCCCAGCUGUAAACGAUGCAGACUAGGUGUUUGGACGGCCACGUGCCGUUCUAGUGCCGCAGGGAAGCUGUUAAGUCUGCCGCCUGGGGAGUACGAUCGCAAGGUUGAAACUUAAAGGAAU
rnacentral:rRNA from 1 species